AGAGAACGCUGGCGGUAGGCCUAACACAUGCGAGUCGAACGGCAGCACAGUAAGAGCUUGCUCUUACGGGUGGCGAGUGGCGGACGGGUGAGGAAUACAUCGGAAUCUACUUUUUCGUGGGGGAUAACGUAGGGAAACUUACGCUAAUACCGCAUACGACCUACGGGUGAAAGCAGGGGAUCUUCGGACCUUGCGCGAUUGAAUGAGCCGAUGUCGGAUUAGCUAGUUGGCGGGGUAAAGGCCCACCAAGGCGACGAUCCGUAGCUGGUCUGAGAGGAUGAUCAGCCACACUGGAACUGAGACACGGUCCAGACUCCUACGGGAGGCAGCAGUGGGGAAUAUUGGACAAUGGGCGCAAGCCUGAUCCAGCCAUACCGCGUGGGUGAAGAAGGCCUUCGGGUUGUAAAGCCCUUUUGUUGGGAAAGAAAAGCAGCAGGUUAAUACCCCGCUGUUCUGACGGUACCCAAAGAAUAAGCACCGGCUAACUUCGUG
rnacentral:rRNA from 1 species